rnacentral:lncRNA from 1 species
AUUAAAAAAUAACGUAAGAUAACAUUUCUGAAGUGCUGAUUUACGAAUUUAAAAAUAUAAAAUAUAAUAAAUAAAAAUAUAGAACGCAGCGGAAGUAUUCGUUCGUACCUUUUUGCGGAAGCGAUUCGCGUUACAACUCGAUGAGCUCGGAUCGUCGAGGUUGAUUCGCGUGUCCUUUGAUCUUCCUUGAUUAAAUCUUUUCACGUUCCAAACUUGUGAUGGAUCGAACUAUAAACGAGCACGAUCACAAAUACACCGUUCAAGUCCCUCUUAGAAUAAUAGGUUGAUGGAGGAUGUGGUUUCUCUAUUUCGUUUUUUUAUUCUCUUUUCUUUUUCCAUUCUGGUUUCUCUCUUUCGUUUUCUUAUUCUCUUUUCUUUUUCCGUUCUUUUUCCUUUUGUUAUGUGGGAUCGCCCAUAUAUUUAUAAGGAAUUCCAAAAUCCUAAUAGCGUUAGAGAUAAGGUCAAAUCAGUUAUUAAUUAUUAUCCUAAUAUGACUAGAAUUUAUCUCUAACUAGUUUUUCAAUUUGAAAGCGAGAUUAAUUCCAAUCCAAUUAGAUAACAUAAUAUCCGUCAGAUCGAAUCCGCUUAUAGGCGUACCCGAUUCGAUUUAACCUAAUGCCAACAAAAAAUAGAAAAAAACAAAAAAACAAAAAAUU